GACAGAGGAUGCAAGCGUUAUCCGGAAUGAUUGGGCGUAAAGCGUCUGUAGGUGGCUUUUUAAGUCCGCCGUCAAAUCCCAGGGCUCAACCCUGGACAGGGCGGUGGAAACUACCGAAGCUGGAGUACGGUAGGGGGCAGAGGGAAUUUCCGGUGGAGCGGUGAAAGUGCGUAGAGAUCGGAAAGAACACCAACGGGCGAAAGCACUCUGCUGGGCCGACACUGACACUGAGAGACGAAAGCUAGGGGAGCGAAUGGG
rnacentral:rRNA from 1 species